UACAGAGGAGCCAAGCGUUGUCCGGAUUGACUGGGCGUAAAGCGCACGCAGGCGGUCUGGCGCGUGGGGUGUGAAAUCUGGCCGCUUAACGGCCAGGCGCCAUCCCAUACGGCUAGACUGGAGGGCUGCGGAGGUCGAUGGAAUUGCCGGUGUAGUGGUGAAAUGCGUAGAGAUCGGCAGGAACACCCAGGGGGAAACCAGUCGACUGGGCAGCACCUGACGCUGAGGUGCGAGAGCGUGGGGAGCGAACCGG
rnacentral:rRNA from 1 species